UGAGUAACGCGUAUCCAACCUGCCUUACACUCUUGGACAGCCUUCUGAAAGGGAGAUUUAUACAAGAUGUUAUCAUGAGUAAGCAUUUUCGCAUGAUUAAAGGUUUACCGGUGUAAGAUGGGGAUGCGUUCCAUUAGAUAGUAGGCGGGGUAACGGCCCACCUAGUCUUCGAUGGAUAGGGGUUCUGAGAGGAAGGUCCCCCACAUUGGAACUGAGACACGGUCCAAACUCCUACGGGAGGCAGCAGUGAGGAAUAUUGGUCAAUGGACGAGAGUCUGAACCAGCCAAGUAGCGUGAAGGAUGACUGCCCUAUGGGUUGUAAACUUCUUUUAUACGGGAAUAAAGUGAGCCACGUGUGGCUUUUUGUAUGUACCGUAUGAAUAAGGAUCGGCUAACUCCGUGCCAGCAGCCGCGGUAAUACGGAGGAUCCGAGCGUUAUCCGGAUUUAUUGGGUUUAAAGGGAGCGUAGGCGGGUUGUUAAGUCAGUUGUGAAAGUUUGCGGCUCAACCGUAAAUUGCAGUUGAUACUGGCGACCUGAGUGCAACAGAGGUAGGCGGAAUUC
rnacentral:rRNA from 1 species